rnacentral:lncRNA from 1 species
UUGUAUAAUUAAAAAAUUAAAAAAAAAUUGCCAUAAGUCUCAAUGAUUACUAGGUAAGAACAUUGACCUUUCCAUUAACUAAUUAUUUCAUAAUAACUCAUUCAAAUUACACGCUUAUUCAUAUCAUAUUCUCGUGCUACACGAGAAAAAUUAAAAUUAUUUAAGUGCUUUCAUCUAUAACCUGCUAUACAAUAUUCUCAAUAUCAGAAUUUAUCAAAUUUUGAGUUUUGUCUAUGCUUAAUUAUUUCUUUAACAUAGAGUGAAUAAAGUAAUUUGAUUAGUUUCUCAAUUAUAAUUUUAUUCAAGAAUGAAGUUCAUUUCGUCUCCCUUUUAAUUAUUUUUGCCAAAUAUAUAGAUGACCUGGAUAUAUCAUUAGUUCAAACUAUAGAAACUAGUGAACAUUUAUCCAAUAUUUUGUAGCAAAACUAGUAAGGAUAAUACGUUCUACUUCACAGUGAGAGUGAACUAGGAAUAUAAUUUAUAGUAACGAUUAAACAUUUUUUAGAAUUCAAAGGAAGAAUGUUUUGUAUAAAUUAAGAAUCUUUAUAGGUUAAAUCAGUAACAAGUCAUACACAACAACGAUAACUCGACAAGGGGCUAAAGGAUAAAAACACAAAAACCGAGACCUGGUUUGGAGCAGAAAAAUAUUCUUUCUUUCUUAGCACGCAGAGGACUUUUAGAAACAGCCAAUAAUAAAACUUCGUUAUCGGAAUGAAACGUAAUGCAACGUUGGAUAUUUAAAAAAUUAAAAUGUCUUAAAACAGCGAAAGGAGGAUUAAUCGACAACAUAAGAUAUCGAAGAAAAACUAAAGAACUAACAGCUGGAUAUUUUGUCGUGUAAGGAUGGAAACGACACUCAGAGGAGGGAAGAAUGAGCCGGCGAGUCAUGGGGGGUGGCUUGGUUAAGGAAACCCAUCCGCCGGGCUUUAGCAAAAGCAAGUCUUCACGGGGUAAUUGUCAGUACUGCUUAUGGACCCAAACCUAUUAAGAGAAAGUAAUUGUCAUAAUUUAUCAACUCAUCAAUAAUUCAUCAGUUUGCGAAUUUAAAAUAAGUUGUUAAUUCAUAAAAUAACUUAGUGUUUUAUAAAAUGUGUUGUAGGGGUAACUACAUGUUUGAAAACACAAGAGUAUAUACAUUUGAAAAAUUUUAUUACAAAAAUAUUGCAUUGUCA